rnacentral:lncRNA from 7 species
UCUUGCACGAGUUUUUGCAUGGGAAGAGAAUAAGGUUUGCUCUUCUGCUCCAGGCUUGGCUUGUGCUGCACCUCGAGGAGGCCUCAUUGAGACCUGCUGCAGCCUCUGUGCCCAAACACCCCCUCUUUUGGGGGGAGGCUGAUCCGGCCCAGCCGCAUGAUCGCAGUCAGGUGACGACGCCGAGCACAAAAGCAGCGCGGGAUAAGCAGCUCAGCGUGGCAGAUCAGCUGCUGCCCCGGCCCCUCUGCGAGCUGCUACUGCUCGGGGAAAAUGAGCACCUGGCCCCCUCCUCUGCUCUGGAGCCUCACCACGGUGUGUCUGACAGGUGGCAAAGGGAGUGACCAAGGGAGGCAAAACCAGCUUGUGGUGGAUGCUCUAGGGUAACUCUGCAGAGGACAGGAGUGCCAAGGACGGGUUUCUGCAUGGAGUGGGUGUGUGGAUCUGCUCUGUGCCACCACUACACCUGGAGCUGCUUGUGCUGCAUGGAGGGCUCAUGUGUGGACCCUGGUGCCUGUGCUCCUUGCCCUGUGGGACACUACCAGCCUGAGGGGGGACAGCAGCAGUGCCUGCCGUGUCCAAAGGGACGUUACGCCAAGGCACUGCACAAAUGCUUCUGCUGGGACAAUGGAGAGUGUGACACAGAGCUGGGGACAGCUGGAAGGAGGAGAGGCAACAGAGAGGAGCUGUGGCAGCUGCCCGGGGCUCCAUCAAUGCUUCACAUUUCUGUCAUGUUUGGAGAACCCAAAGUCCCUGGGCUGCGAGCAGCUCUGUGGCUGAUGCAGUCUUGUGCUGGUUUGUUUUAAGCUAAGUCUUUGCUUCUAUUCCCGUUGUCUUAGUUUUUUCCCUCCACAAAUCUUGCUCAGCCCUGGGGUUUCCAAAGGAAUAAAGAGCACAUCUUUGUUUUCCU